rnacentral:rRNA from 1 species
UGGGGAAUAUUGGACAAUGGGCGCAAGCCUGAUCCAGCAAUGCCGCGUGUGUGAAGAAGGCCUUCGGGUUGUAAAGCACUUUUAUCUGGAGCGAAAUCUGCAGGGCUAAUACCCAUGCAGUCUGACGGUACCAGAGGAAUAAGCACCGGCUAACUUCGUGCCAGCAGCCGCGGUAAUACGAAGGGUGCAAGCGUUACUCGGAAUUACUGGGCGUAAAGCGUGAGUAGGUGGUUUCUUAAGUCUGCUGUGAAAGCCCCGGGCUCAACCUGGGAAUUGCAGUGGAUACUGGGAAGCUAGAGUGCGGUAGAGGGUAGUGGAAUUCCCGGUGUAGCGGUGAAAUGCGUAGAGAUCGGGAGGAACACCAGUGGCGAAGGCGGCUACCUGGACCAGCACUGACACUGAGUCACGAAAGCGUGGGGAGCAAAC